AGUGAACGCUGGCGGUAGGCCUAACACAUGCAAGUCGAACGGCAGCACAGUAAGAGCUUGCUCUUACGGGUGGCGAGUGGCGGACGGGUGAGGAAUACAUCGGCAUCUACUUUUUCGUGGGGGAUAACGGAGGGAAACUUACGCUAAUACCGCAUACGACCUACGGGUGAAAGCAAGGGAUCUUCGGACCUUGGGCGAUUGAAUGAGCCGAUGUCGGAUUAGCUAGUUGGCGGGGUAAAGGCUCACCAAGGCGACGAUACGUAGCUGGUCUGAGAGGAUGAUCAGCCACACUGGAACUGAGACACGGUCCAGACUCCUACGGGAGGCAGCAGUGGGGAAUGUUGGACAAUGGGCGCAAGCCUGAUCCAGCCAUACCGCGUGGGUGAAGAAGGCCUUCGGGUUGUAAAGCCCUUUUGUUGGGGAAGAAAAACUGCGGGUGAAAACCCCGCUGUUCUGACGGUACCCAAAGAAUAAGCACCGGCUAACUUCGUG
rnacentral:rRNA from 1 species